UACGUAGGUGACAAGCGUUAUCCGGAAUUACUGGGCGUAAAGCGCACGCAGGCGGUGCGUUAAGUCUGACGUGAAAUCUCUCAGCUUAACUGGGAGGGGUCGUUGGAGACUGGCGGACUUGAGGCGAUGAGAGGGGUGUAGAAUUCCCGGUGUAGUGGUGGAAUGCGUAGAUAUCGGGAGGAAUACCAGUGGCGAAAGCGGCACCCUGGCAUUGGCCUGACGCUCAUGUGCGAAGGCGUGGGGAG
rnacentral:rRNA from 1 species